rnacentral:lncRNA from 1 species
GGAAAAACAGGGCCACAGGCUGGGCAUGACACAUCUUGUUACCCAUGCAAUGUUGGGGUCAGAGAGUGUAGAGAGUGGUGUGGGGAGAGUGCAGGCUGAAGAGUUACCUAAGGUCAAAAUCCUGACCUAUGAGCCAAGCCAUCGAUUUGGGAUUUCUACUGAGGACACUGGAAGUCACUAAGAGCAUCUGAAUGAAAGAAAAUAAAAGAGACUGAGAAACCACAGAAAUAAAGAAGCGCUGAUGACAAUGCCUGCUUGCUGAUGGUUACGAUGAUCAUAGCAGUGUGCAUUUUGUAUGCAUGAAGCCUGCGACUAAAUAAACGUGUGGGGAAAUAUUUGUAAGGAAAUAAGCUAUUAAUAAAAUAAGCUAAAAUCACAGUUGCUGGACUAUGACUGAUUUUUCCCCUUUCUCUCAUUUAAAAUUAAAUAUUUGUAUGACUUGUAUAAUAGAAAAAUACAUGUAUUCAAUCUUAAAAAGAUAUUCUUAUUUUACACUUUACGGGACAAAAGAGGUUGUAGGUUGGAAUGGUUCAGUCCCCUUGUGACAACUCAAAAACAGAGACCUUAAGCCUUUCUCAACCAAUGUUGCGGGACAAGCAGGCGUGUGAGGCGACAAUGCCAUUAGGGUAUUUUUUGGAAAAAUUUUAGUGUGAGAGACAAAAGCCAAAUUCAAACUGGCCUGAGCCAAAAUAGGUAGGAAAGGGAGAAGCGGAGACAGGGAGGAAGAAAGAGAGAGAACAGAAAGAAAAAGGGAGAAAUGUCGAAAGGCAAAAUUACAACACAUUUAGUUAAAUGAUUGAAUUGGUUUUUAUUUGUAAUUCAUGAAUUGGGGCAGCAUCUCCUCUAAAACUUUAGGAAAAGUGCUCUGAUGAGCUAAACAGAGAAGCUUGGCUUUAUAGGCAGAAAAGGGUGAAGAAAGCAGACACAGGGAACAAAAAGCAGAUUGGUAAGCUCAGGUUACUUCAGGUUACUUUCCUUAUAAAGGUUAAAGUAGAGGGGACUUCCUUAUCAUGCUGGCUACAACUGGCCUGUUUGGGGAUUUGCAUAUUAUCUCUCUCUGUCUUGAGUUCUGGGAAGGUCUGAUGACUUAGUUUCAGUUUGGUGAUAUGGAACUUAGCAUGAGUGACUCCAUCUUGGUUUGGUCUACUGGGGCCUCCUGCAGGAGCUCAGCCCAAAUCAGUGACCUCCUAUAAAUUUCAUUUAAUAGAAAAGGAAGGAAGGAAGGAAGGAAGGAAGGAAGGAAGGAAGGAAGGAAGGAAGGGAGGGAGGGAGGGAGGGAGGGAGGGAGGAAGGGAGGAAAGAAGGAAGGAAAGAAAGAAAGUUGCUUAUAAGUUGCUUAUAACUAAAAAGACCAGCUGGACCCAGGAGCUCUGAGGUUGCUUUCAGGCCUCUGUCCAUCUCUUAGUUUUCCAUCCUCAGACAGGCUCUGCCCUGCCUUACAGUCUAGCAUUGUUGGCCAAAGGUGACUGACUGGCCCAGCUUGGGCUAUAUGUCCUUCCCUGUGGCCAGAGAGAUGUGUCUCUGUGAUGGCCAGGCUUGGGUCACGUACUCCCUCCCCUACCAGAAUCACAUGAAAAGAGGGAGGAAGAGCCGCUUUCCACCAAAGGAAACUGAAGUGCUAUUGUCAGAGGGGUUGCUGGGCAGACCAAAAAGAUGACAAUAUCUGCUCCAAUCGCUCGGGUUGUUGGUGCUUGGCAGAUUUGCCCCUACGUCACUUUUCAGAUGUGGAUAAGACUGAAGGUGACCACAGGCUUCCGAGAGGAAAGCUGCCAAUGGGGGUGUGAGAGGAGGGGGAAUUCUUACUCACCAAGGUUAACACUGUGCACACUGUUCUCCGAGGAAGUGGGAAUUUCCACAUGGUGAGUUCCCUUCCCUGUACAAUGAAUUACUAUCUUGAUGAGAAACCCGUGGGCAGCUGGUUGAGAAGAGAAAGGUAUUCUCUGAAUGAGAGGGAAUUUACCACCUUCCUUUCAAUGGUGACAGUUUUUUCUGGUGUCACCGCAGGGUGUGGAUUGAUUCAUAUACAAAUAUACAUAUCUACAUAGAUGCCAUUCUGCUAGCCUCUGCAAAAUGCAUGCCUGGAGACCAUUUCUGCUGCCUAGGAGAUGUCAACUUUGUCACCACCACUCUCUCUCCACCACUCCCACACCCUGCAGGGGCCAGGUGUGUGGGUGGGGAGCUCCCCAGCUGGAGGCCAGAUUAGAGGUCUCUGUGUGGUGGGGAUGGGGAGGAUGGGGUGGGAAUGAGGUGGUAGGCCACUGGCAGUGGUCCAAGUUCCAUCCAGGAUCUGUCCUAGGCCUCUCCCCAGGCUGUCGCUUCCACCAUUGAAUUUCUAACCUGGAUCUCUAAGGUUAUGAAUAUCUCAUUCCCGCAUCCUGGGGUGCUCAGACAUGUCUCCCCUGAGUCUCUAGCUGGGCUCGUGGCUGUGAUCAUUGUCCUCAGAGUUCCAUCCUCCCAACAAAGGGACAGAAGAAACACAGGGCCCACUUUUCUGGAUUCUGAGUUGGAGCCAAGAAAUUCUAUCUGCUGCUUCCUUCCUGUUGAAUUAUCCCCCAAGGACCCCUUAGUCCCUCCAGUCUCCUCCAGAGGCCUAUAGCUGCCCCAGCUCCCCAUGAUGGAUACCUGGCUCUUUCCUACCCAGAGGAAAACGCAGGCCCUUCCCCAGCCCUGCACUGAACUCCUGUGAGUGGCUGAGGAGAUGAGGAGGUGUGAAGAGUGAGUGUGUUGGGGAGGGAGGGGUCCCCUGCCACCAGGUACCAAGGACUUCUGCCAGAUCACCAGAACUGACACCUGGUUCCACCGGCCAGCUGUGAAGUGUCGGCCCUGACAUCAACAGCUGACCUCCCACAGGGCCUAAGGAAACGGAAUUGUGG